UACGUAGGGCGCAAGCGUUGUCCGGAAUUACUGGGCGUAAAGGGCGCGUAGGCGGCCUUCUAAGUCGGACGUGAAAUCCCUCGGCUUAACCGAGGAACUGCGUCCGAUACUGAAAGGCUUGAAUCCGGGAGAGGGAUGUGGAAUUCCAGGUGUAGCGGUGAAAUGCGUAGAUAUCUGGAGGAACACCGGUGGCGAAGGCGGCAUCCUGGACCGGCAUUGACGCUGAGGCGCGAAAGCUAGGGGAGCAAACGGGG
rnacentral:rRNA from 1 species